rnacentral:rRNA from 1 species
AUUGAACGCUGGCGGCAUGCCUUACACAUGCAAGUCGAACGGCAGCGGGGACUUCGGUCCGCCGGCGAGUGGCGAACGGGUGAGUAAUGCAUCGGAACGUACCCGGGAGUGGGGGAUAACUAUCCGAAAGGAUAGCUAAUACCGCAUAUUCUGUGAGCAGGAAAGCAGGGGAUCUUCGGACCUUGUGCUUCCGGAGCGGCCGAUGUCAGAUUAGCUAGUUGGUGGGGUAAAGGCCUACCAAGGCGACGAUCUGUAGCGGGUCUGAGAGGAUGAUCCGCCACACUGGAACUGAGACACGGUCCAGACUCCUACGGGAGGCAGCAGUGGGGAAUUUUGGACAAUGGGCGCAAGCCUGAUCCAGCCAUGCCGCGUGAGUGAAGAAGGCCUUCGGGUUGUAAAGCUCUUUCGGCCGGGAAGAAAUCGCAUAGGUUAAUACCCUGUGUGGAUGACGGUACCGGAAUAAGAAGCACCGGCUAACUACGUGCCAGCCGCCGCAGUAACAC